rnacentral:rRNA from 1 species
AGAGUUUGAUCAUGGCUCAGAGUGAACGCUGGCGGCGUGCCUAACACAUGCAAGUCGAACGAGAACGGAUUACAGCUUGCUGUAAUUGUCAGCUAAGUGGCGCACGGGUGAGUAAUAUAUAGUUAAUCUGCCCCAAAGAAGAGAAUAAUUGUUGGAAACGACUUGUAACGCUCUAUAUGCCUUUAUUACAUAAGUAAGCAAGGGAAACAUUUAUGGCUUUGGGAUGAGACUGUACGGUAUCAGCUAGUUGGUGAGGUAAUGGCUCACCAAGGCUAUGACAUCUAACUGGUUUGAGAGGAUGAUCAGUCACACUGGAACUGAGACACGGUCCAGACUCCUACGGGAGGCAGCAGUGGGGAAUAUUGCACAAUGGAGGAAACUCUGAUGCAGCAACGCCGCGUGGAGGAUGACACAUUUCGGUGCGUAAACUCCUUUUAUUAGGGAAGAUAAUGACGGGACCUAAUGAAUAAGCACCCGCUAACUCCGUGCCAGCAGGCGCGGUAAUUACGGGGGGUGCAAGCGUUACUCGGAAUC